AGCGAUGUUUGUUGCAAUUAGCAUCUGUUUGAGAAUUGGUCGCCAACUGUGAUUCAGUUUUAAAAGUAUGUUGAAUUUCCUUGUUAACAUUUAUCCACUCACAGAAUUGGCCUUGAAAUGAGUGUCAGAGUGUGUCAAGUGUGUGUAAUUUAAAUGUUCUCUAGUCACAUUUCAAAGCGAGCUCUAGAGUAAUACAACCCAAACCCAACAUAAAUGUGAAACAAAAAUUCAACUUUGAAAAAUGGAUAUUUUCGUUUAUUCUGUUUGUGUGAGCGUCUUUGCAGUUUUUCUUUUGCUUGUGCUGAGCUAUAAGUUCUUCGAACAGAAGAAAAAGAAGGAGGAGGAAAUUAAGCCAAUUUUUUUUAAUAUUUGGGAUGAAGCUCGCAAUUUUGUUGUAUACAAGGGAUUUACUUACGAAGUGACCGAAGGAGCAGCAUCAAGUGAAUGAAGCAUUGAAAAAUCAGCUGAAUGCAGAAUUCAUGCCACAAACUUAAUUAGUUUCUUGUUCACAUUUCUGGAAUGUAUAUAUACUCUAAUUUUUUCAUAGUAUUUUUUUUUAUAAUUUUACAAUGGUAUGGAAAAAUGUAUGUUAGGUAUACUAUUCGUAGUAGAAAUCUGCAUCUUUGAAAUUCUAAAAUAAAUGAUAAUGACGUUAAAUAUCUUCAGCUUUAUUUGCAAUCAUUUAGAAUUACUUUAAUAUAUUUUCUAUCUAUAAUCCGAGCGCUAAAGAUAUCAAAUCUGCAGUCAGUAAAAUACUUUCGAUUUAUAGGAUAUAAAUCGAUGUUUGUUGCAAUUAGCAUCUGUUUGGAAAUUGGUCGCCAUCUGUGAUUCAACUUUAAAAGUAUGUUGAAUUUGCUUGUUAACAUUUAUUCACUCACAGAAUUGGCCUUGAAAUGAGUGUCAAGAGUGUGUCAAGUGUGUGUAACUUAAAUGUUUUUUAGUCACAAUUCAAAGUGAGCUCUAGAGUAGUACAACCAAAAAUAAAUGUGAUACAAAAAUUCAACUUUGAAAAAUGGAUUUGUUCGUUUAUUCUGUUUGUAAGAAAAAGAAGGAGGAGGAAAUGCAGCCAAUUUGUUUAAAUAUAUGGGACGACAAGAAAACUAAAGCUCGAAAAUUAGUUGUAAUCGAGGGAUUUAUUUACGAUGUGACCGAAGAAGCAGCAACAAGUGAAUGAAGCAUUGAGAAAACAGCUGAAUACAGAAUUGAUGCCACAAACUUAAUUAGUUCACAUUUCUGGAAUGUAUAUAUACUCUAAUUUUUUCAUAGUAUUUGUUUUUUUUAUAAUUUUACAAUGGUAUGUAAAAAAAAUUUAUGUUAAGUAAACUAUUCGAAAAGUAGAAA